GGAUUCAAAACUGAAAUCUUUAAGUAGGUAUCCGAAAUCGAAAAUCUUUAAUUAAAGAUUUGAAAUGUUAAUCGUGCUUUAUCAUCAUCCCUAUUCAGGGAAAAUGGAGGAUUAAGAGAGGCCCUGUUUAUUUGUCUCUCAGCAUUCAUUCAUUUGGGAGUGUGAUCAAUCAGUAGGUAAAACUACAUCACUCAAUUUGAAACUCAGCCCAGGCGAGUUGAUGAGAAUUCUAGCCAAGUCAUUAUGAAAACUAUGUGAAAAGAUAAAAUGCUGAUUGCAGUAUCAGUUGGUAGAAAUACCAGACAGUCAGAAGGAAAUGGUCUGAUUUCCCAUUAACACGACCUACACUAAACUUAGAUCCUUUAAAUUCUCAAUGGUACUGAUGUUGGAUUUUUUUAAAUCAUGAAUAUAAUUAAGACCUCUUUGGUUGACACAAAAAUGAUUUAAUCUCAUUUUAUGUGAUAUCUAAUAUAUAUUUAUGAUUAAUUAAAAUAAGAUGAAUUCAUGUUCUUAAA